GGAUUAGGCAUGCAAGUCGCACGAGAAAGGUUUCUUCGGAAGCCGAGUACAGUGGCGAACGGGUGAGUAAUGCAUAGACAACUCGCCCUUGAGAUGGGGACAACGCCUCGAAAGGGGUGCUAAUACCCAAUGCCGCCUUGGGCCCGCGGGUCCAGGGUGAAAGGAGGCCUCUGAUUCAAGCUUCCGCUCAAGGAGAGGUUUAUGUCCUAUUAGCUAGUUGGCGGGGUAACGGCCCACCAAGGCUGCGAUGGGUAGCCGACCUGAGAGGGUGACCGGCCACAUUGGGACUGAGACACUGCCCAGACUCCUACGGGAGGCUGCAGUCGAGAAUCUUCCGCAAUGCGCGCAAGCGUGACGGAGCGACGCCGCGUGGGUGAUGAAGGCCUUCGGGUUGUAAAACCCUGUCAGCUACUACGAAACACGGGCGAUGAACAAUCGUCCCGUCUGACUUAAGUAGCAGAGGAAGCACCGGCUAACUACGUGCCAGCAGCCGCGGUAAUACGUAGGGUGCAAACGUUGUUCGGAAUCACUGGGCAUAAAGGGCGCGUAGGCGGUCUGAUAAGUCAGGUGUGAAAUCCCUCGGCCUAACCGAGGAACUGCAUUUGAUACUGUCGGGCUAGAGUACAGGAGGGGGAGAGUGGAAUUCCUGGUGGAGCGGUGAAAUGCGUAGAUAUCAGGAGGAACGCCGGCGGCGAAAGCGACUCUCUGGCCUGUUACUGACGCUGAGGCGCGAAAGCUAGGGGAGCAAACGGGAUUAGAUACCCCGGUAGUCCUAGCCCUAAACGAUGGGCACUAAGUAGAGGGGUUUU
rnacentral:rRNA from 1 species